UACGGAGGGUGCAAGCGUUAUCCGGAUUCAUUGGGUUUAAAGGGUGCGUAGGCGGCCCUGUAAGUCAGUGGUGAAAUGCUGCAGCUCAACUGUAGGACUGCCAU
rnacentral:rRNA from 1 species